GUUAAAUUGGGUUAUUUGCUUUCAUAUUGUUGAGUAUGAAAAAUCCCUUAUAGAGUCUGCUUAAAAGUCCUUGGUCUGAUAUGUGAUUUGGAAACAUAUUCUCCAAGCCUGUACCUUCUCUUUUUACUCUUUUAAAAGUAUUUUUAGCAGAGAAAAAGGUUUAAAUUUUGGCGAAGCUCAGUUUAACAUUUUUUUUUUCUUUUCCAGAUCAUGCUUUUGUUGUUGAAGCCAAGAACUCAUUGCCUAAUUUAAGGUAGCAAGUCAUCAGGAAUGCUUAGCACGUAUGGACCAUUUCACAGAGAGUGUCUGAAACAAGAUAUUUCUUUCUAGCCUCACCUCUGGAUUGGACCGAGCAUGGAUACACUGGGCCAUUACCAUGAUUUAUCAGGAGCUGAUUACCUAGCCAAUCAUUCCCAUCAUUCCCUUACUGAAAUAAACUGAGAAAAAUCAAACUAACCUUCUAUUCACUGGAAGAUAUUCCAAAUGGUGGUUUGCUUCAUGCUUGCACAGAGACUCUGGCUGGGCAGCCCAGAUGAUCACUUUGUGUGAUGUGAUGCCCACAGCUGCCUAGCUGUCUCCAAGGGCCCAAUCAUUUAUCGCUUCUCUUUGGCUGUGUGUGUGUGCAAGCAGGCAGCUGGGGGUGUGUGUGACCCCAGGGCUUCUACAAUAAAUCAGAAUCCCUAAUGCCAGAU
rnacentral:lncRNA from 1 species